rnacentral:lncRNA from 1 species
UUUUUUUUUUUUUUUUUUUUUUUUUUGUUUUUAAUUUUUUAUUCAUUUAUGAUAGUCACAGAGAGAGCGAGAGCGAGAGAGAGAGAGAGAGAGAGAGAGGCAGAGAGAGAAGCAGGCUCCAUGCACCGGGAGCCUGAUGUGGGAUUCGAUUCCGGAUCUCCAGGAUCGCGCCCUGGGCCAAAGGCAGGCACCAAACCGCUGCGACACCCAGGGAUCCCGGAGUUCUUUGUUGUUGAUUCUUUCGGAGUUUUACAUAGUCAACCAUGUUAUCUGCAAACAAAGAUGGUGUUAUUUCUUCUUUUUUAAUCUGUGUACCUUUUAUUUUUCUUGACUUGUUCCAUUAGCUAGGAUUUCCAGUACAAUAUUGAAAAUAGCAGUGAGAACAGAUAUGUUUUUGACAGAUGUUCCUAUCAAAUUGAAUAAAUUCCUUUUCUUCCUAGUUUGCCGUGAAUGGUAUUAACUUUUUUUUAAGUACUUUUUUUGCAUCUACUGACAUGAUCAAUAUGAGUUUUCUUCUGUAACCUGUUGAUGUGUAAUGGCUUAGAUUACCUGAUUUUGCAAUGUUGAGAUAGCCUUGCAUGCAUAGGAUAAACCUCAGUUGAUCAUGUUGUAUAAUUUCAUACAUUAUUGUAUUUGAUAUUAUAGUGUUUUGUUGAUGUUUGCUUUUAUGUUCAUGAGAGAUACUACUAUGUGAUUUUCCUUUCUUAUAAUGUCUUUAUGAGAUUUUGGUAGUAGGGUAUUGCCUCAUAGAAUGAGUUAGGAACUCUGUCCUGUUACUGUAUUUUCUAGAAGACAUAGUAGAGAAUUAGUAUCGCUUCCUAUUUAAAUGUUUGGUAGAAUUCACCAAGUGAAACCAUCUGUGCCUGAUGCUUUCUGUUUUAGGAGAUUAUUACGAAUUCAGUUUAACAGGUAUGUUUUGCAAAUCUGAUGUUUUAGGAUUUUGUUUGUUAUCUUAUUUGCUUUCAUACAGUUCAUAGCAUUUUCUUAUUAAUACUUCUAAUUUCUUUGGGGUCAGUAGUUAAGCUCUUUUUCAUUAUGGAUUUUAGUAAUUUGAACCUUUUUUAUUUAAUGGUUGUUUUAGAUAAACAUUUCUAAUUUUGUUGAUCUUUUAAAAAAACAACAAAUUUUGAUUUUAUGUAUAUUCUUUUUUCUAUUCUUUUAUUUUGCAUCUAUUCCUUAUUUCUUUAAUUCCCUUUGUUUCUCCCCCUAGUUUUCUUUUUUUAAAGAUUUAUUUAUUUAUUUAUUUAUGAGAGACACAGAGAGAGGAAGAGACACAGGCAGAGGGAGAAGCAGGCUCCAUGCAGGGAGCCUGAUGUGGGACUCAAUCCUGGGACUCCAGGAUCACGCCCUGGGUUGAAGGCAGGUGCUAAACCACUGAGCCACCCAGGGAUCCCCAUGUUUUUGUUAUUGAUUUCUAAUUCAGUAUCAUGGGUGGAAGAUACACUUUAUAUGAUUUUAAUUUCUGUAAAUCUAUUGAGAUUUAUUUCAUAGCCUAAGUUGUGUUCUCCUCUGGAGAAUGUUUUAUGUACUUGAGAAGAAUAUGUAUUUUGCUAUUACUGGUUAGAGUUUUUAUUUUUAUUUUUUUAAUUUUUUUUAAAUUUUUUUUUUAUUUAUUUAUGAUAGUCACACACAGAGAGAGAGAGAGAGAGAGAGAGAGAGAGAGGCAGAGACACAGGCAGAGGGAGAAGCAGGCUCCAUGCACCGGGAGCCCGACAUGGGAUUCGAUCCCGGGUCUCCAGGAUCGUGCCCUGGGCCAAAGGCAGGCGCCAAACCGCUGCACCACCCAGGGAUCCCUGGUUAGAGUUUUUAUUGAUGUCUUUGAUCUGGGAGGUUUAUAAUGUUGUUCACAUCUUCUGCUUUUUGUUGAACAUCUUCCUAGUUUUAUCUACUACCAAAAGUGGUUUGAAUGUUCUAAUUACUGUUAAAUUGUCAGUUUUUACUUCAUGUAUUUUGGAACUCUGUUUUUAGGUGCAUUUUAUGUCAUUGAAGCAUUUUUAUGAUAGCUUUAAAAUUCAUGUAGGAUAAUUCCAACAUCUUUGACAUCUUAUUAGUGUUUUUUUUUUUAUGGUAUUUUCUCUUUUAAGUUGAAUAUCCUUCAUUCUUGUUAGGAUGAAUAAGUUUUUAUUGUUCUCUGGUAAUUUGUGGUUGACAUUUUGGUUCUUGGGUACUUGGUGAACUGGAAUUUAGUCAUGGUUCUAUUCACACGCAUGGUAUGUGCAAGCUCCCACUAGGUGUAAGGGGGAAGAGCUUUUGUUCCUGCUGUGUUGAGUGGUAGUCAGGGUCUGAUUAUACAUUGCCUCUGCAAAUGCCUGUCAACUAGUAUAGAGUGGACCACAGCUAAUAAAUGCCACAAUGAUAGUCACAAUUAGUCAAGGACCUAAUCACACUCACACCCUCCCAGGGCAACUGUCAGCCAGGAGAUGAGGCUUUAUUUCUGGGCUAUAAUGGCAAUUCACAUCUUUGUAGGCUACACACUAUUGAUGCGCCUGGAUUGCAAAUUUCUUAUACAGCAGCUGAAUGUACUGAUUGUUCGGGAAAAGGGACAUUCAUUGCCUCCUUAUUCCUGGGCUGGGAUUAUAGGGCUGUGCACACACAAAGUCUUUGAAUAUACUGGCAAGGGAGUGAUGCUGCUGGUUAUUGUGCAGAAUGGUGUGGGAGAUGUUCAGGUAAUGUAGAGUUGGCAUUGUCAAUAGGGCUUUUUGUUCCACAUGGCCACAGCCUUUUCAGCCCUUUGUGUGAGGAAAACGGGUUGUGGAGGGUGUUUUCUUGUUAUUAGUGAGUGGUGUGUUUAUUUGGUAGUUUGCAUCUGGUGGCAUUUCAUUUUGCAAGGUUCUUUGGUAUUCAGGCUGGAGUCUAAAACAAAAACAAAACCCAACUCUCCUCCAAGGAAGUCACCACUGAGGUUGGUUCCUCAAGUCCCAAGGUCCAUAAAUAGUUUACCCUCAUUUCUCCAAGUUUCAGAUUCUUAAGUGUGUUUCAUAUAUUUAUCCCCAUAGACUUCAUGCUUAAUAAGUGAGGAGGAAUAGGGCAAAAUACGUGUACUUCAUCAUAUCCAGAAUGAUGUUUUGGGGUUUUUGUAUCUGCUCUUUUGCAUGUAGGAAUUUUGGGGGUUGUUUUUUUUUCCUGCUGCUAAGAUUCUUUUGUUAUUACUCAUUUUAAUUGGUUGGAUUAUGAUUGUUUUGGUGUGAUUUGCUUGGAUGAGUUGAACUUCUUGGAUAUUUAGGUUGUUUUCACCAAAUUUGGAAAACUUAUUUCUUUAAAUGCCUUUUUGUUCCUGCUCAUUCAUUUUGCUCUCUUCCAGGGGUCCCAGUUAUGCAUAAUUAGAUUGAUUGCAGUUAUCCCGUAGUCUUCUGUUAUCUAAUUUACUUUUCUUAGUCUGUUUUUCUGUUUCAAGUUGUAGUUUUUGUUGCUAUGUUUUUAAGUUUACUAAUGUUUUCUUUCAAUCUCACCAAUUGUAUUUAUAAAUCUUAGAAUUUUUAUCUCUAGAAUUUUGUUUAGGUCUUUUUAAUAUCCUUCACAUCUUAACAUGAUCAAUCUCCUCUUCCUUCUUGGGCAUGUGGAAAAUAGUUGAUGGUCGUACUGCCAGUCUAUUUCCAAAUACAAAAUCUAGCAAAUCAAAUAUAAAACCUAUUUUUGUCAUUUCUGGAUGUGUUUAUAUUGAUUUUUCUCAUUAUAUUCACGCUUUCCUGCAUUUUGACACUCCUGUUUUUGUUUUCUUAUCAAGCGCACAUCUUAAAAUUUACCUUCUAUGUGCUUGAUAUUUUUGUAUUUCUAUAAAUAUACUCAAGGUUUGUUCUGGAAUCUAUAUUACCUGGUAACAGUUUAAUCUAUGUUACCUGUUCCUAUUAAGAUUUACUUUAAACUUUAUUAGGUGGGACCAAGAAGCCUUUAGUACUAACUUGCUUCUCUACCGAGGCAGUAACUUUUUAAGUAAUCUAACCAGUGCCCUGUAUAUUAUGAAGAGCUUACCACUCUGGCUGAUGGGGACACAAACUAUUCCUGGCUGUAUGGGUUCCCAAGGGUUACCUGUACUUUUUCUAAGCAUUUCUUUUGCUGAUCUCAGGUGUUUACUUCCAUGCACAGAUCAAGACUUGCUCUAGUAGUCUGCCUUGCAAACUAGCUAUCUCUGCCUCCCUGGACUCUCAUCUUCACCUUGGCAUCACGAGGCUCCCCCCUGCAUUCCUUCUCCCUGUGCUGACAUGUGGAAAUGCCUACUAGGAAGUAAGUGGAGUCAAAAGUGUGGAUGUGACAUUUGUUUAUACUUUGUUAGGCAUUUUGUCAUCUGAUGUUCAGUAUCUGGAAACAACUGCUGCUUGUAUUUUACCUAGUGUUUUGUUACGUUAGGCAGGAAGGUAAAUCCAGUCUCUAUUUUCCAUUUUGGCUAGAAAUAAUAUAUUUUUUAAAGGUUCUAGACAUACAGAAAGUUUUUAAGAAAAAAAUUUCCAUAUAUUCUUCUCCCAGUUUGUGUAAUACUAACAUAUUACUAUGGUACAAUGAUCAAAACCAGGACAUUAACAUUGAUUGGCACACUACUAUCAAUUAAAGUACUGGCUCUUUUUUUUUUUUUUUUAAGAUUUUAUUUAUUCAUUUUAGAGAUAGAGCAGGGGGCAGGAGAAGAGGGAGAGAGAUAACCAGAUUUCAUUUUGAGCACAGAGCCCCAUGUGGGGCUCAGUCCUAAAACCCUAAGAUCAUGACCUGAGCUGAAAUCAAGAGUUGGGCACUUGACUGAGCCAUCUACGCACCCCUAAAGUACGGGCUUUAUUUAGAUUUCACAAAAGCUUUCUCUACUAAUGUUCCAAAGAUCAAAUCUAAAUUCCUGCACUGUUUUCAGUUGUUAAGUUUCCUUAGUCUCCUCCAAUCUUUUGAGAGUUUUUCACACUACCCUUGCCACUCAUGACCUUUGAAGGUCAUGGAUUUCUGGAAGGUUCAUUCUUAGUCUGCAGUUUCCUUCACGAUUACAUUAUAGUUACACUUUUUUAAAGUCAGAAUACUACUCAUGUGGUAUACCCUUCCUAGUGCCUCACUUUGGGUAGUAUAUAUCCCAAUAUCUUACUACUGGUUAUCAUUUGAUGAAGGUGGUAGGUAUAUGGAAUGUUUUCUCCUUUUAAUUAUAUAUUUGAGAUAGAUACUUUGAUACAAUUCUCUAAUUGCCUGUUUCUCUUUAAAUUUUCACCUUCAGAUUUAGUAUCCAUUGAUGAAUUUUGCAUAUAAUUUUAACUGUUAUUAGAGUGAUUUCCUAUUUGCCUCAUUCCCUUUACACUUAUUAACUAGAAUUCUUCACCAUUAAACUGAAAAAGGAUUUUAUCAUUGGAAGAUAAUUUCAUAGUUCACUGCAUCAAUAAACAGGAUAGGUCUGGAAUAUUCUCUUGUAUUUUGGGGAAAAGCCACCAAAGCUUCUAAGUAGACUUGGGAAAAUGUGAAAAGGAUGAAGGACCAAAUGAGAAUGGAAAUGUAAGUUUUAUUAAUUUGAACACCAAAUAGAAGUAGGAAAAAAAAGUAGCAGCAAUAAUUGCAUAAUUGUUUAUUGUACCAGCAGUCUGUGAAAUGACAGGAGUUCUUAACAAGGGUAAAGAAAAAUGUUAAUGUAAUUUGACCAAAAUAUAGUUGUAAUUACAAUAAGGGAGGCAUAAUAAGGAUAUGUUGUUGUAUUUAUUAAGUUUUAAUCAUUUCAAAAAGUAAGUGCCAAAGUACAUGGUUAUUUUGUUUCUGUUUUUAAUUUUUAAGUGUCUGUGUAAGGUUUAGACAGCUUACUCUUUUAAUCUAAUCUGUUCAAGCCAGCAAAAGAAAAAAAAAAAAAACACAAAAAAAGUAA